AUGUCCCGAAAUGGCGAAGAGCACACAAUUGCAGAUGUACAUUUCCCAGACAUGGAGUCACACGCACCUGACAAGACAGAGUGUGUGCACGAGCACAGCUCAACCGUGCAGCCACAAGCGACUGAAGGCAUCAUAGUGGACAACCCCGCUUCCUCAGAAGAGCCACCAUUAGGCCAAAGAGUCCGCAGAAUGACGGAAAAGGGUCAAGAACAGCAUGAUGAGCAAGUAAUAAAGGUUGCACAUCGGUUCAGUGUGUGCUAUGAGAAGUGGAAGGAUGCCACUAAAGAAGCCAACCAAGCGCUGAGUGGAAAGUGCUCAGACGACCUGCUAGAUGGACAAAUUACUAAAGUACGCAAUACCUCUAGGAGUCUAAAUGACGUUUAUGACGAUUGGAAACGCCUUGAGGUUCCUGACCUUAACACACGUCGCAAAAUCGACACCUGUGAAACAGUAACAAAGAAGAUGGUUAAGGAUGCAAUGGACCUUAUAGAUGCAAGGGAGGAAGCUACAGCCCAUAGGCAUACUACAAGUCAAAGACAUGAAGAACAUCGAGUCAUUGAAGAGGUAAUGUCUGUAGCCUCAGGAAGGACAGGCACUAGCUCUCGCCACACUAAGUGCUCCUCUGCAAGCAGGAAGAGUGCAGCUGCUGAGGUUGCUGCCAACAAAGCCACCUUAGAAGUACAGCUGGAGCAAGAGCAUUAUAUUAAAGAGCUUCAGAGACUGGAAGAUGAAGCCGCUCAGCUAAUUGCCAAACAAGAGGCUGAAAAUGCAGAGAGACAAAGAGUGCUAGAAGCCAAGCGCAGAGAACUAGAUCGAUUGGAGACUAUUAAGAAGCUAAAGGCUGCCGAGGCACGACAGCAAGUAUAUGACCAGAGUAUACAUUCAUGUCCGGCAACUAAGGGCGACGGCUCAGAUGAAGAAAUAAAUUAUCUUCUCCAUUGUGUCUCUGUGAAGAAAGAAGAAGUCAAGCCUCAAACUAGCCCACUGCGGCACCAUUCUACACCACCAGCUGUAGCACAAGCAAGGCAAGAAAACAAAUAUGAAGAUGGCACAACAGCUCUCGUCAAAGCGCUCGCAGAAGCCAUCAGUGCGAGUCGCAUUCCUCUACCUGAACCUACAGUGUUCAGUGGUGACCCACUCCGAUUCAACGACUGGAAAGUGUCCUUUCAGACGCUCGUUGACAGGAAGAACAUACCAGCUGAAGAGAAGAUAUAUUAUCUACGCAAGUAUGUGGGUGGAUCUGCUAAAAGGGCCAUAGAGAGCUACUUUUUACUUGGCACAGAGCCAGCAUAUUAUGCAGCAUGGGACAUCCUAGAAGAGCGAUACGGCAAUCCAUUCCUCAUCGCCAAGGCCUUCAGAGAGAAGCUCGACGCGUGGCCCAAGAUAAGCUCCAAAGGCAGUAUGGAACUUCAAGAACUCGCCGACUUCCUGCGCUGCUGUGAGGCAGCCAUGUCUCAGAUCAGAGGUCUUGAAAUACUUAAUGAUUGCAACGAGAACCAGAAAAUUCUCUCUAAACUCCCAGACUGGGUGACUUCAAGGUGGAAUAGGAAAGUCAUAGAAGCAGAAGAAGACACUCACAUGUUCCCGAGCUUCAGCCAGUUUGUCAAGUUUCUCACACGUGAAGCUAAAAUCGCUUGCAGCCCAAUAACAUCUCUUCAUGCUCUUAAGCCAAGUGAAAGGAUUCCAGACAAGUGUGUAAAGAGCGGAGGUCCUGGAGCAAAGGUGUUAGCAACCACCUCAGAUGAGAAAGCCGUCGUCACAAGCUGUGUCUUCUGUGAGAAGGCAGGACACAGUCUACAAAGGUGUUACAAGUUUAUGCAAGGGACAAUCUUGGAGCGAAUCAAGUUUGUUCAAGAAAAUAAAUUGUGUUUUGGCUGUCUCAAAUUUGGCCACCGAUCUAGAGAUUGUAGAGAAAGAGACGGCUGCGACACCUGUGAGAGAAGACACCCAACUUGUCUUCAUGACGAUCGCACCAAGGAAGAAAGGAUGUCUACAAGAUCUGACAGAGCAAGGUACAGUGACAAAGACAAAGAAGAGUACAAAGAAAGGAAGAAUGAACAGUCACAAGACCAGUCAGAGAGACCAUCACGUGAGGCGACGGCACUUAGAGUAAUCCAGAAUGUUGGAGACACGCAUACCUCCACAAUAAUUCCAGUGUGGGUGUCAUCUACAAGUGUUCCAAGUCGUGAAGUUCUGGUGUACGCACUCCUUGAUACACAAAGUGACACAACCUUUAUCCUCGACGAGACAGCGAAGGCUCUCAAUACUAGGAGUGAACCAGUUCAGCUAAACCUCUCCACGUUGGCUUCAAGAAACACAAUCGUGUCCUGUCGGAAGCUAGCUGGUCUACAAGUUAGAGGUUUUUAUUCAGACAAGAUAAUCACUCUUCCAGUGACUUACUCAAGAGAGUUUAUCCCUGCAAACAGAGACCAUAUUCCCACACCAGAUACGGCGAAAGCAUGGCCUCAUCUUGAACACAUUGCAGAUGAGAUCGCUCCUCAGCAAAGCUGUGAUGUCGGCCUGUUAAUUGGCUACAACUGUGCCCAAGCCCUCGUUCCAAGACAAGUGGUGCCUGGUGAGGAACACCAGCCGUUUGCACAAAAGACAGACUUGGGCUGGAGUGUAGUGGGAUAUGGCAACCCGUGUCUCAACUAUGGAGAUGCAAUUGGAAUAAGUCACCAAGUCAUGGUGAAGCAAGUGAUGCCAGGUCUACCGUCCUCUUCAGACCUCACAAAGGAAGUGCACUAUGUCUGUAGGACACAGAUCAAAGAAGUUCUCUUACCUGCAGAUGUCAUCAAGAUGCUGGAGUCUGACUUCGUUGAAAGAGAGUCGGAAACCAGCCCCAUCUCUCAAGAAGAUAUAAGGUUCCUGGCAAAAAUGGAAAAGAGCAUCAAGUUAAAGAGCGACGGUCAUUACGAAAUGCCGCUGCCAUUCAAGAAAGAAAGACCUAACUUACCUGAUAAUAAGAUCUGGGCUAUCCAUCGUCUCAGGUGCCUAGAAAGAAGGCUGAGAAGAAACGACCAGUACUACAAAGACUACAAGACCUUCAUGGAUGAGACCAUAAGACGCGGAGAUGCAGAAAGGGUCCCGGAGGAAGACAUCCACAAAGCUCCAGCUUGGUACAUUCCGCAUCAUGGGGUGUAUCAUCCACAAAAGCCUGGGAAGAUACGCGUUGUCUUCGAUUGCUCCGCCAAGUACCAAGGAACGUCCUUGAACGACCACCUCCUGACGGGUCCUGAGUUGACAAACACCUUGGUGGGAGUUCUGUAUCGCUUCCGAAGAGGUCCUGUGGCAAAUCGUGUGGAACGCAUCAAGCAAAGCACAGAGUCUACACAAUGGAAGUAUGUGGCUUCAGAAGAUAAUCCAGCAGACUACGCCUCAAGAGGUCUCACAGCAGAGCAACUGGUAUCCUCUAACUGGUUCACAGGCCCAGACUUUCUUUGGCAGAAGGAGUUACCAAGUGGAGAUGUCAAGGUGUGA
rnacentral:lncRNA from 1 species